rnacentral:rRNA from 1 species
GUGAGGAAUAUUGGUCAAUGGACGGAAGUCUGAACCAGCCAAGUAGCGUGAAGGAUGACUGCCCUCUGGGUUGUAAACUUCUUUUAUACGGGAAUAACAUGAGGUACGCGUACCUUAUUGCAUGUACCGUUAUGAAUAAGCAUCGGCUAACUCCGUGCCAGCAGCCGCGGUAAUACGGAGGAUGCGAGCGUUAUCCGGAUUUAUUGGGUUUAAAGGGAGCGUAGGUGGGAUAUUAAGUCAGCUGUGAAAGUUUGGGGCUCAACCUUAAAAUUGCAGUUGAUACUGGUUUCCUUGAGUACGGUACAGGUGGGCGGAAUUCGUGGUGUAGCGGUGAAAUGCUUAGAUAUCACGAAGAACUCCGAUCGCGAAGGCAGCUCACCGGGCCGGAACUGACACUGAUGCUCGAAAGUGCGGGUAUCAAACAGGAUUAGAUACCCUAGUAGUCC